UACGUAGGUGACAAGCGUUGUCCGGAUUUACUGGGCGUAAAGAGCGCGCAGGCGGUCGAUCAAGUCGAGUGUGAAAGCCCCCCGGCUCAACUGGGGAGGGUCAUUCGAUACUGAUCGACUCGAAGGCAGGAGAGGGUAGUGGAAUUCCCGGUGUAGUGGUGAAAUGCGUAGAUAUCGGGAGGAACACCAGUGGCGAAGGCGACUACCUGGCCUGUUCUUGACGCUGAGGCGCGAAAGCUA
rnacentral:rRNA from 1 species